AGAAAACCUACAUAUAGCCUGGUAAUAGUACCAGCUUGGUCAAAGGACCCCAUGAGAUAUAAUUUGGCAAGUUUCACCUUUAUGUUUACUCGGGUUAUUACACAUGUCACAAAAUGGCAAGGUAAAGCCAAUGAAUUAGAAUAUAUCUUUGCGCUUGGACGCCAAUACGGCUACGAUGAUAGCUCUAUUCGUGGGGUUUGGAGAAAAAUAAGUAGCACUACACGAAGAACACUAACGCACACCUCAAUCGUACAGCACGUUGAUGAUGCCCGCCCCUUCACAGCAAUUACGUAUUACCAUAACACAAAUAGAAUACUUAGUAAGUAUACUAAACAAGGGAAAUAUAAAAUGGCCCUCAGGAGAGGUACUAAUAUGUUUAACAUGCUACGAAAUGAUAAAAGCAAAAUCCCAGAGACCAAGAAGUCAGGAGUGUAUACCAUCCCCCUGUAUAACCUGGAUGACAAUGAACAACAAUACUAUAUAGGAAGCACAAGCC
rnacentral:lncRNA from 1 species